AGUUAAAUAGUUUAAAUUUAAAACACUAAUUUUGUAAAUUAAAAUUCAAUAAAUAUUGUUUAACUA
rnacentral:tRNA from 1 species